GUACCUGCAGAAGGCAGGGAAGCAGCAAGUCUUCCCAUAUCCCCAGCAGCAGUCCACUCCUUGAGCCAGGCUCCAACUGCACAGUUCUGCCCUGAGGUCCGGCAUUAGAAGGAGUAGCACUGAGCCUCUGAAAUCCUGUGGAUGUAGAAUUGGAAACAACAUUAAGACCAAGACUGAUCCUACAUAGCCGCAGGAUUUUAAGGGAAUGGUGUUUGGGUUAUGGAUAAAGGAAGAUGAGUUUCGGCCGAGCCUGUCACUGAGGUUCUUCUAUGCAGGGAAUCUGAAUCACUCCGAGUCUAAAAGGGACAAAAUUGAUCCUUUAGCAUGACUUGUGUGUUCAUCAAAGCAGCUGUCCUGGGUCAGACCAAGGUCUCCUCCAGCUCAGUAUCCUGUCUCCAGCAGUGGCUGUGAUAAAUAGUGAGAAGCAAAGCCAGGAAAAGCAAAUGGGAUGCUUUCCUGGAGCAUCCUCCCAAACCUCUGCCUUCUAGCUUGGGAAUUUCUUCAGCUGCUUGGGUUUUCUGUGCAUUUAGUAAUCCUCAAUAGAUUUCUCUCCUAAGUACUAGCCUGAUCUCCCCUUAAGCUGAGCUGUAUUUCACAAUUGUCACACCAUCUGCUGGUGGGGACACCAAGUCCCACCUCCACGUGGGUUUUUCAAACCUCACUGACAGGAGAUUCUCUGAGGUCUUUAAUGACCCAAAGAGAUAUAUGGGAACACACACACUCAGUUCCUUCCAUUCCAGAAGCUGGAAAGGUGUCAAGUCACACAUGCUGCCCAUGCCAGGGCUCUGGGGUUUGUGCUGCCCAGGCUCCUGGCCAGCACUCACGUGAUACAAAUGGGCACUUUCCCAGGAUACUGAGAAAACAGUAAUUGUGAAAGAGCAGUGGGAAUCCUGGCUGAGGUCUCCUCUGCUUUGUCCAUCAGCUCCAGUAAAGCACAGGCCAUUUGUGCCAUUCUGUGCUGUGUUGUGGAAAUGUCAGUGUCCAGCCUUGCACCUUGCUCAUUG